UGCCAUUGAUGCCACCGGUACCACACCCUGGAACCACUUCAAGUGGUUCUCAAGAACCUACCAGCCAGAUACCUUCAGCAAGUACAUUGCUGGGAGACCUAGUGAAACGGCACCAAUGGAGAGGUUAAGAAAAAUGAACAGAUUCAUUGCUGAAAUGUUGAACGACCUAAAUAAAUGAGUCGUCAAAACAUUA